rnacentral:lncRNA from 1 species
AUCACGUCCAAAAUGAUCGGCAAUCCCUCCUGCAUGAAUUUCCCACACGAUGAAAUCUCGCACGGAAGUUCAAGGGAUGCACAAUUUAUUGGCUCGAAAGAGAUAACCCUCCUCAAGUCAGAAGCCAUCUGUGACGCCUGAUUGUCCCCUUUGUAAAUCAAGAAAGAUAUCCUUAAAAUCAGGACAUGCCUCGUAAUCCUCCUUAAGUCUUUCAAAACCAAUGACCUUGACACUCAUGAUCGACAAAAGGGAGACCCGACGACUUAAUGCAUCAGCUGCUUGGUUCUCUAUACCCUUCUUGUGUUUCAAAACAAAUGAGUAGGCCUGCAAAUAUUCGACCCAACGACCAUGCCUAGAACUUAAUCUUUUUUGGGAGUUGAGGUAACGGAGGGCCUCGUGAUCCGAAUAAAGGACAAAUUCCUGGGGUAACAAAUAGUGGCGCCAAUAGCGCAAAGCCUGGACCACUGCAUACAGUUCCUUAUCAUAAGUUGAGUACCGCUGUUUGGCUUCAUUUAACUUCUCACUGAAGUAGGCAACACGGUGACGAUCCUGACUUAAGACUCCGCCUAUACCUACCCCGGAGGCGUCACAUUCAACUUCAAAGACUUUGGAAAAAUCGGGAAGACGCAUGACAGGGGCCUCCGUCAUUCGCUUCUUAACUAACUUAAAGGCCUUAACCGCCUCUUGUGUCCAAUGAAACUCCCCUUUCUUCAAGCACUCCGUAAUAGGCGCCAUAAGAGUGCUAAACCCCUUAAUAAAGCAACGGUAAAAUGUAGCUAAGCCAUGAAAGCUCCUGACGUCAUGAAUAGCUUUAGGCUCAGGCCAGUCAAUAAUCAUCUGAGCCUUAGCAGGGUCAGCAGAUACUCUUGUCGAAGAGACAAUGAA